rnacentral:rRNA from 1 species
AAAUUGAAGAGUUUGAUCAUGGCUCAGAUUGAACGCUGGCGGCAGGCCUAACACAUGCAAGUCGAACGGUAACAGGAAACAGCUUGCUGUUUCGCUGACGAGUGGCGGACGGGUGAGUAAUGUCUGGGAAACUGCCUGAUGGAGGGGGAUAACUACUGGAAACGGUAGCUAAUACCGCAUAACGUCGCAAGACCAAAGAGGGGGACCCUCGGGCCUCUUGCCAUCGGAUGUGCCCAGAUGGGAUUAGCUUGUUGGUGGGGUAACGGCUCACCAAGGCGACGAUCC